GCGGGAAUAGCUCAACGGCAGAGUGUCAGCUUCCCAAGCUGAAAGUUGCGGGUUCGAAUCCCGUUUCCCGCUCCA
rnacentral:tRNA from 2 species